GUCCUGUUAAUUUUUUAUAAUCCUGUUUGCUGCAGUCAAUCAAGGGUUACUAGGACGUUUAGUAUAUAAACUGAUCAAGCCGCUUUAAAAAUUAAUAGCGAGUUUCUUAGUAUUCUAGGUGUCAGUUGAUCCCUUCCUGCCUCUACAUCGGCAGCAAUGUCAUGCACCAUCCUAGACACCGUCACAGCUAGUUACCCCAAUCACGUAAAGACCCCGAACGAGCACCAGUUCUCACAUAUGUACUUCGUCUGAUAUGAGUCGGGAAUCAACAGAAC
rnacentral:lncRNA from 1 species